GCCCUUUGGAGAAAUUUGGGGUUUUGAGAGUUUCUACCUCCAUUGAAGCUUGAGGAGCCAUCAAUCCUUGGUUGUGUGACCAUUGGUGGAUUGAGACAUUUGGACCAACCGUGAGUGAUCAACCAUUGGAGCAAGCUAUGGAGCUUGAAUAGCUCAUUGGAAUUGGUGUAUGUUUGUAAAAGUUGAUUGCUGAAACUGUUGGUGAAGAACAAAGGUUGACUGAAGCAUUGAGGUAAGGAUGCUGCAGGAGCCUCUGGUGGCAAGUGGCCAUACCUAGAUUAUGCAUGAAAUAUGGCACUUCUUUGAGUUUAUGCAUGCCUUUUGUAGUUGACAUGUAUAGGAUUUUAUUUUGAAAGCCCAUGAUCAUUUGUAUAUCUUGAUUCAUUGGAUGAACUUAGCCUAUGCUCAUGCCUUUGGUUACACCUUUUGUUGAUGGGAGCCAAGGGAAUGAUCAUAGUGUUUUGUAAGCUAAGUUCUAUGAUUUGUAAAGGAUAUGUAAUGUAAAUGAUGCCUACUUGGAAUUCAAUAUAUGCAUGCUUGUUAUGUAUUGAGUUGUUGAAUUGGUUGGGCUGAAAAUCAAUUAGGUACCCUCUUCGUUUAA